rfam:Camelus ferus unplaced genomic scaffold scaffold526, whole genome shotgun sequence.
GGAAGGGUACAGCUCAGUGGCAGAGUGCGUGCCUAGCAUGCACGAGGUCCUGGGUUCAAUCCCCCAGUACCUCCU